rnacentral:rRNA from 1 species
UACUGUGAAACUGCGAAUGGCUCAUUAAAUCAGUUAUAGUUUAUUUGAUGGUACAUUGCUACAUGGAUAACUGUGGUAAUUCUAGAGCUAAUACAUGCAAUCAAGCCCCGACUUCCGGAAGGGGUGUAUUUAUUAGAUAAAAAACCAACGCGGUUCGCCGCUCCCUUGGUGAUUCAUAAUAACUUCUCGAAUCGCAUGGCCUUGCGCCGGCGAUGCUUCAUUCAAAUAUCUGCCCUAUCAACUUUCGAUGGUAGGAUAGUGGCCUACCAUGGUUUCAACGGGUAACGGGGAAUAAGGGUUCGAUUCCGGAGAGGGAGCCUGAGAAACGGCUACCACAUCCAAGGAAGGCAGCAGGCGCGCAAAUUACCCAAUCCCGACACGGGGAGGUAGUGACAAUAAAUAACAAUAUAGGGCUCUUUUGGGUCUUAUAAUUGGAAUGAGUACAAUUUAAAUCCCUUAACGAGGAACAAUUGGAGGGCAAGUCUGGUGCCAGCAGCCGCGGUAAUUCCAGCUCCAAUAGCGUAUAUUAAAGUUGUUGCAGUUAAAAAGCUCGUAGUUGAACUUCAGACCUGGCCGGGCGGUCUGCCUCACGGUAUGUACUGUUUGGCCGGGUCUUACCUCUUGGUGAGCCGGCAUGCCCUUUACUGGGUGUGUCGGGGAACCAGGACCUUUACCUUGAGAAAAUUAGAGUGUUCAAAGCAGGCCUAUGCCCGAAUACAUUAGCAUGGAAUAAUAAAAUAGGACGUGCGGUUCUAUUUUGUUGGUUUCUAGAGUCGCCGUAAUGAUUAAUAGGGAUAGUUGGGGGCAUUAGUAUUCAGUUGCUAGAGGUGAAAUUCUUGGAUUUACUGAAGACUAACUAUUGCGAAAGCAUUUGCCAAGGAUGUUUUCAUUAAUCAAGAACGAAGGUUAGGGGAUCGAAAACGAUCAGAUACCGUUGUAGUCUUAACAGUAAACUAUGCCGACUAGGGAUCGGGCGACCUCACUUUUAUGUGUCGCUCGGCACCUUACGAGAAAUCAAAGU